rnacentral:lncRNA from 1 species
AUGAAAACACCGGUAGUUGAUGAAAUAAUGAAGGGUGACUCUGUCCCUUCUUGUUAUUCACACUUUCCUGUGAAGAGGGACUGCUUAUGCAUAGAGGGUACCAUCUCCACAGAAGAUCAGAGUCCGUCAUUGCUACCUCACAACACGUACAGUGGUCUUCCUGAAAAACCUAGGAUUGAUUCUUCAAGUUUAAAAGCCGCGGAGCCUUUCCUCCCUCCUCCCAAGCAGAGCGAGGUGGUUGGGGAAAAGGACACGAUUCCACCUGUGAUAGCCCACCCCACGCUGCUGGUCAGUUGCCUGCCCUGGGCCGGACUCAGAAAGGGCACAUCAAUGCUCUAAAGGCUCACAGUUGAAGGAACAGAAGUUCUGGCCUCUAACUCAGACACCUUCAUGAUUAGUCCCCCAAGAGUCAUCAGCUUGAGUUUUUGACAGUGGCUGAAAGGUUAUUUCUGUAAGAUCUUUUAGCUGGGAUAUUUAACUGUAAACAACCAUAUCAUUCAAACACAUGAAAAGUUGGGUUGUUUGUUUGUUUGUUUGUUUGUUUUGGUCUUUCUUCUCCGUAGCCAGACUAUUUUCCAUUGCCUACACUAACUUACAAAGAUGCAACAAGCUGUACCCACAAUUCACCUACCCAUUAGUACCAAAAAAUAAGUGUGGGCAUCCAAAGAAUUCUCUAAAAGAAUAAAGUGUAAGCAGGGAGAGGCUGUUAACCUAGAGACUUCAUAUUAAAUGGGAAAUGGAAGCAGCAGGACCAAUUAUAGGUACAUUUCGGCUGGUUGAAGAGACUUCAAAAUAGAAGGUUCUUUUUUAAAAAAAAAAUCUGCCUAUAAAGA